GAUGAAGAACGCAGCGAAAUGCGAUAAGUAGUGUGAAUUGCAGAAUUCAGUGAAUCAUCGAAUCUUUGAACGCACCUUGCGCCCCUUGGUUAUUCCAAAGGGCAUGCCUGUUUGAGUAUCAUGAACACCUCAACUCUUGUGGUUUCCCACAAUGAGCUUGGACUGUGGAGGUUUUGUUGGCCCUGUGGUCAGCUCCUCUCAAAUGGAUCAGCUUACCGGUGUUUGGUGGCAUUACGGGUGUGAUAACUAUCUACGCUCGUGGUCGUCUCCAAAUAACCUCCAGUGAUGGAGGUUCGCUGGAGCUUAUAAAUGUCUCUCCCCAGUGAAGACAGCCUUUGAACGUUCGAUCUCAAAUCAGGUAGGACUACCCGCUGAACUUAAGCAUAUCAAUAAGCGGAGGA
rnacentral:misc_RNA from 1 species